rnacentral:rRNA from 1 species
UACGUAGGGUGCGAGCGUUGUCCGGAAUUAUUGGGCGUAAAGGGCUCGUAGGCGGUUUGUCGCGUCGGGAGUGAAAACUCAGGGCUUAACCCUGAGCCUGCUCCCGAUACGGGCAGACUAGAGGUAUGCAGGGGAGAACGGAAUUCCUGGUGUAGCGGUGAAAUGCGUAGAGAUCCGGAAGAACACCGGUGGCGAAGGCGGUCUGCUGGGCAGUAGCUGACACUGAGGCGCGAAAGCGUGGGGAGCAAACAGG